CUCUGUAAACUGCAAAAUGUGAAAGAAGGAAAGAGGAGGCAAUAGAAAUACCUUUCAGUAUAUAAAUUAAACUACAACUUAUUCAAGCUCGUGGAUGUUCACAAGCUCAGAAGACUUCCUCGGACCCCAGCCUUCUCAAUGAGCUGAAGAUGAUACCUCUAGCUGAAGAUUACCUUCAGAUAAAUUGGCAAGGUUGGUUCAAUGAUUAUCCUUUUGUGAUCGCAUCCCGCCUCAGGAUCAACUGCUGCAAAGUGCAAAUGCAAGGCGGCGCAGUGAAUCCAGUGAAGGAGAAGGAAAAUCCUUGACUAGCGCUGGAUGCCCGGCUCAGUGCAGCGCCGCUGCUCACAUCCUCCAGGUCGAGC